rnacentral:tRNA from 1 species
GGGCGGGUCGUCCAACAGUCAGGACCCCUCUCCUACACAGAGGAGAUCACGGUGCGAAUCCGUGCCUGCCCACCA